rnacentral:tmRNA from 1 species
GGGGGCGAACAGGCUUCGACGGGUUUAGUGAAAGUGGAGUAGCGUGCCGAGGGCGCCUGGACCCUCGCAAAUCAACUGGGCACACAAUCAACUGCCAACGACAACUUGGCACUGGCCGCCUAAUAAGGCUGCCCGCCUCCUGAUCGACCGGGCCCGAGGCCGGUCUUGAGGCGUCGAUAAAUCGGGCUGGCUAGUCCGUGCGGCCGCGGCACGGGCGGCGAGAACCAACAGCGGCUGGCUCUGGUGAGGCCGCCUAUCGGCCGAGCCGGAGUAAGACAAUAAACGGUAGGCUACGCACGUAGCGGCUCUGCCGGAUCUACUCUCGGACGGGGGUUCGAUUCCCCCCGCCUCCAUCG